rnacentral:sRNA from 1 species
AGAGGUUUUUUAUCAUAUGUGCAAAUUCUUCAUCUUACAGAAUCGAGGCGAUAAUCUUCUUCCAUUUUUGCGGAAAUUUAUUGCAUCCUUCUUUAAACCGGGGUUUGAGAAGUAUAAUAACUUGGAUCUGUUUCGGUAUCUCUUAAAUAUUCCAGGACCAAUUGACAUUCCAUCUCGUUUAUGUAAAGGGAAUUUUGAUGAUGAUAUGUUUAACCACCAAGUUCCUUAUUUGUGGCUGAUUUACUGGUGAGACAUCCACUGUGGAGAGAUAUUGCAUACUAGGCCUGCAUUUGCUAUUUAUUACUGAAUUACACUGUGUUUGUUAUAAUUAACUUGAUGUUAAAGUCAUUGAAGCACAAUUGAAGAGAUGCUGAGGUUUAA